UUAUCGGGGGCAUAGAUUACCAUGGUUCCUGGCCUUGGUGACAGGUGUGACUUCUUAGUUUUCUAAGCGUGGUGAUGAAGCUCAGAGCCAGAGUAGCAUUUCCUGACUUUUUCCUCUGGCUAUUUCAGUGAGUAUAUGCUGGAAGGAAGAGAGAUAUUGUGGGGCAAGAGGACAGAAAAUGUCCUCUACCUAGCACUUUCUUUCCACCUGAUACCUUGAAGAUUCCUACUAGGAAGGAAUGAAGAAUUUUUCUACUACAUUCAUGUUACUGUUUUGAGAGAUUAUCUGCACAGAAUCAAGGAUGGCCAUCAGACGGAACCAGACGGCAAGCUGUGAUAUUUUCCUAUCCCGCUUGCACGAGACAAGUUAUUUGAAUAUUUCUUGAAGUAUUUAGAAAUGAUUGUAUUUUCUGUACAUCUAAAGAUCCACCAUCAUUGUCCAUUAUUUUCUAAUGAAAAAUUAAAUUUAUGGUUUCUAGUUAAUAAUUUCUGCCUAACAUACAGAAAGGUUUAGCUUUCCUGGGAAACUUUUUAUUGCUAUAAAAACUUGAUGUAUCUUUACAGCUUUUUUUUUUUCCCAACAAUGGUUGUAAAGAGUUGAAAAUAGUAUAAGCAUUCUUUGUAUCUAAAUAGACUUAUGCCACACAAAGGUAUAAAAAGUGAGCUUAAACAGCUAAAACAUUACCAGUGGGAUUAUCUAAUAAAUUUAAAGCAACUUGAGAUGUAUUGUCAAAAACUGAGAUUACAUCAGCAUGUAAUACCAAUUUGUCUGUGUUUAAAGUUCUUAUUUUUGCCAUAUUUUAUCAGUCUAAGCAAAUGCUUUUAAUGUACUUGAAUGUAACUGAAUUUUUCUCUACUAUAGCACUUCAAUUACUUAAUAACUUUUAUACCAGUCUUGCGAAGAAGGCAGUGGCAACCCACUGCAGUACUCUUUCCUGGAAAAUCCCAUGGACAGAGGAGCCUGGUAGGCUGCAGUCCAUGGGGUCUCUAAGAGUUGGGCAUGACUGAACGACUUCACUUUCACUUUUCACUUUUAUGCAUUGGAGAAGGAAAUGGCAACCCACUCCAGUAUUCUUGCCUGGAGAAUCUCAGGGACAGAGGAGCCUAGUGGGCUGCUGUCGAUGGGGUCCCAUAGACGGGCACGACUGAAGCGACUUAGCAGCAGUAGCAGCAGCAUACCACUCUUGAAGUUUUCUAUUCAAUAAUAUUUCAUUCUUUAUAUUUCAACUAAGAUGUGAGAUGUUUUUUGAGGACUGACAGAAUCUAUUUCUAAAGGGUUGCAUUUACCAUGUAUUCCGACUAUUCAUUUUCAAUUGCAAGCAUAAUCAAUAGUCUAGUUUUUAAGAUAUGUUAUGUAAUAGAGAAGUAAUUAGACUCUUUGAAAAUUUUCCAGCUUUUGACUAAUGAAAGUGACAACAAGAACAGAUAAUUAAAUUCAAGCAUAUCCCAUGACCUAGCAAGUACUUUCCUGCAUUUUGCCAAAAAGAUUGCCCAGAAGGAGCUAAUCUAAAUUUUUACAUUUUAUUUAGAACUUAUCUAAAAUGUUGUU